rnacentral:rRNA from 1 species
UACGUAGGUGACAAGCGUUGUCCGGAUUUACUGGGCGUAAAGAGCGCGCAGGCGGUCGUUCAAGUCGAGUGUGAAAGCCCCCGGCUCAACUGGGGAGGGUCACUCGAUACUGAUCGACUCGAAGGCAGGAGAGGGAAGUGGAAUUCCCGGUGUAGUGGUGAAAUGCGUAGAUAUCGGGAGGAACACCAGUGGCGAAGGCGACUUCCUGGCCUGUUCUUGACGCUGAGGCGCGAAAGCUAGGGGGAGCAAACAGG